GGAAAAUGCAGAUGUUUGCCAGCUUCAGGAUGACUCCAAAUUCAUAACUGUACAUGGCAUUCUGCAGAUUCUUCAAUUUGAGUUUGAGGAUGCCUUUCCAGUAAAGCUAACAAAAAACAAAACAAAAUAAAACGGUCUCCAACAUACUAAACAGCUGUCUCCAAGAUCAGAAGGCAUCAGAAAAGACCCUCAAGAGUUGUCUAAUCCCAGAGGAAGAUCUUGUUUAAGUGGAGAAGUGCUUGCAGCAGAAACCUUGGAAAUUUCAGGGAGUGGAAUUUUAUUGUCAGAACUUUCAAUAAAAGUGUAGCCACAGAUCCUGGGAGCAUUAAAUAAAAAUUACCAACAAGC